AUGCACGGAGUAGGAGGAGCACUGGAGACACAAGGGAAAUGCUGUAGCUCCGUAGGCAGACUUUGCAGAAGAGCCCCCCUGAUAUGCACAAAUGGUGUUUUUUGGAGAGUAACAUAUGAAGUGAAAGGAGCUGGAUACCAUCAUCCCGUCAAUAUCCCCUGGGAUUUACUAAGCUGGCCUUGGAGGGAUGUGUGAGCUGCCCGCAGAAGUUUCAAAGCCACUGGAUGAAAUGAAGGGUGAAAGAUAUUUUUACAAACAGGCAUAGUUAUCCCAUCUUGCUGUAACCCUCCCUCUGUGAGUUUUUUCUCUCUGGGGAGAUGUUAACGGGGCAGGAUUCCAGUUUAGAGGAGAAGGGGAGUCCUCGGCAGCAGCCUGCUCUGUCCUGGAUCGGCCAAGUGGAUUCCUCUGUGGGAGAGAGAGGAGUCCAGUUUCUAUGACGAUCCACAGCUGCUCUGCCAAGACUGCCAGCCGAGGUCCCUGGCGGUGCUAAUUGCUAUGCGGACAUCCGUUCAUUAGACUUUGACCUAGAAUUACCAUCAUCUUUCACAAGGUAGGCAAUGAAUCAUUGUUUUUGGCUCUUGCCUUGUCUCCUUCAGCCUAGGUUUGACUUGGAUCAGAAGUGCAAUCUCUGCAGGUCAUUACCCAUCUCAGUCAGGAAGAUUCCUGAAGGGUAAUUUUUAUAACAGGCUAAGGUUUUACUGGAAAUAGAAUGUUAGUUAACAGUCUAAGAGCUCAGACGGAAUCGAUUGUAACUCAGCUCUGCCACUCAAUGGCUCUGUGAUCUUGGGCAAAUUGUUUGACUCCUUUAAGCCAGUUAUCUCAUCUGUAAAAUGAGGAUAACAAUAUUUCCAGACUCAAAGGAUUAGGAUUGCCAAGAGGUAUGGGAAGGGAUGAAGUGGAAAGAAACUGAUGACUGUGCUGGGAUCUGAAAUAAGAAAGUGCAACUAAAUGGACUGAUAUCUUGAUGGCUGACCCUUGAGUCCCAACACUUGCAGCCAACCACCAUCUAGACCAUUUGGUUCUCCUCAUUAAGGUUGCAUCCUUAGUAAUUCAAUUUAUUUUCCUUCAUCCUUUACCCUCCUUGAGUUUGAGACUACUGAAAAUCUGUGAAGAAACUUAUGACAAUCAAAUAGCAAUGUAAAUUCAAAAUAAGUUUUGUUUCUUCUCUCAGUAACCAAUAAAAAGGGUUCAUUUUAAGUUUCCA
rnacentral:lncRNA from 1 species